CUGCGGCGCUGCUUUCAACCCAGCGCCGUAGUUUUAGCCAGGGCGGCUGCUCACAAAGCGGUGGCCCUAAUUUGAAAAAUAUGACGACCAGCAGGGGCAUCCGGGCUGGUGCCCGGACUAUCUGCGGGAUCCGUAGUGGCUUACCAGUCGCUGCUUCAGGACUGACAGCCAUGCGGUUUCUUCGCCGGUGGUGUCCCCUUACCGAGGGUGACCA
rnacentral:ncRNA from 1 species